AUCCAGGUGACGAUUCCGAAAUAGGACGAAACGCGCGUCCUGGAU
rfam:Schistosoma mattheei strain Denwood, Zambia genome assembly, scaffold: SMTD_scaffold0007466